AGUUUAUCUACCCGGCCCAUAAAAACAAAACAGAUUAAUAUACGCAGUCGUCACUUGGGGCUUAUCUUAAGAAUAGUUAGAUCUAGUUGUACUAUAAGAUUGAGGUUCUACCGAAAAUGCGCGCUUUGCGCUUUACAAAUUUGAUCAAAAGCAUGCGCCGACGAAAGCACAAUUUUUACAAAAUCGAUAAUUUCUUACAAAAUUUAAAUAUAUUAAAACAAUUAUAUAUUAAAUUAUGUGAAAAAGAAAGAACCUCAAAAAUUAAAUUACAAGUAAAAACUAAGCUGAUAAAUUUAACUAAAUGCAAGUUACUAUUGAUCAUAAAAGACAGGAUAGGGCAAUAUAAAAAUUGUUACAUAUAUGAAAUAUUUUGCCUUACCCUGAAUUCGUCUAAUGAAAAAUAAAUAUACGCUGCGAAAAUAUUCCAUACAAUAUACUCAUAUGAACAAAAUUUUAUUCACAUUUCAAAGAAAUGCUCAUAAAAUAUCAAUCAUGCGUAUAUACAUUCUCAAUUAUUGAAGCAGUAGCAAUAGCUCCAUUAGCAAACUUCAUAAAUAUCAAAAUUUUCCAAUGAAUGCAAUAAUUAACACAAUAAUUGGUACUGAAAAUGUAAAAUUAACUGUCGGAUGCAAGUGCAGAAUGCAAUACUCCAACCAUUCAAAUAUUAACCACGUAUAAUUAAUAUUUCUGAUUAAUUGUUUUGCAAUGGCUAGAAUAUGGCAUCAAAAUGUUAGUCACAUUCACAUUCAUAUAACUAAUGUAAUGCGCAUGCAGUUAUUUUUAGUUUUGUUUUGUGAGAAGUAAAGUACAUCAACCAAGGUAACAUCAAACAAAUCCAAAAAACGGAAUUUAGUGGAAGAAACACAAAAUGGCGUUGGUGGCAAGAAAGAAAACAUCAAACACAUCAAACAGAACUUUCGAGUUGUCUGCGCUGGCGACAAAGAUAAACAACAAAAUAUCAAAGUAAUAACAAAAAACGCAACAAAGUUCCGGACAAAGUACACAACACACACAAAUACAGAGGGGCUGGCGGUAAAUCAGUGUCGGAAUAUUUCGCAUGGAUUUUGUAAACAUUUUUCAUCUUGCUCUUCAAAGCGUUUUAUACAUUCAAAAUGGGUUAAAAAUGGACAACUUGGCAAACGUGUCAAAUCCAAAAUGUCAAUCAAAUCCAACUAUGGUAAAUAUAAUAUCAAUGGUAAUAUCAAAUGAACAAGCAUCAAUUAUUUAAGAGUUCAUUUAAGAGGGAGCAAAAGGUCAACAAAUUGAAUAUGAAGUGUUAUUUUCUUUUGCGAAAAAUACGAAUUUUAGUCAAUCGUUAUCAUAAAGUGAACAAUCAGAACAGCAAGAAAAGUUUUGGAUAGUACAUCAGUCACCUUUGAAAUGUGAAAGAAAACAUGAGAAACCCAAGAAGAAAAUGUCUAAACGGAAAUAAACGUGACGACAAGUUCGGCCUGCUUAUGCCGAACAUACAAACGAAGAACGACGCAACACAGGAAGAAGACGAACAAACAAAUCGGUGAAAGAAUCGCAGCUUAAAUUCAACAAUAAAUCUAAAUUUAUGCAUGCAGAAUAUGUCGCUAAAAUCAUCUGAAAAACCAUAAAAGAAUCGUCGAGUUCUUCAGCGUGAUGUGAUCAGAAUGCCAUCUAAAUAAAUUAUCGAAAAUAA